GACGAACGCUGGCGGCGUGCCUAAUACAUGCAAGUAGAACGCUGAAGCUUGGUGCUUGCACCGAGCGGAUGAGUUGCGAACGGGUGAGUAACGCGUAGGUAACCUGCCUGGUAGCGGGGGAUAACUAUUGGAAACGAUAGCUAAUACCGCAUAAGAGUAGAUGUUGCAUGACAUUUGCUUAAAAGGUGCAAUUGCAUCACUACCAGAUGGACCUGCGUUGUAUUAGCUAGUUGGUGAGGUAACGGCUCACCAAGGCAACGAUACAUAGCCGACCUGAGAGGGUGAUCGGCCACACUGGGACUGAGACACGGCCCAGACUCCUACGGGAGGCAGCAGUAGGGAAUCUUCGGCAAUGGACGGAAGUCUGACCGAGCAACGCCGCGUGAGUGAAGAAGGUUUUCGGAUCGCAAAGCUCUGUUGUAAGAGAAGAACGAGUGUGAGAGUGGAAAGUUCACACUGUGACGGUAUCUUACCAGAAAGGGACGGCUGACUACGUGCCAGCAGCCGCGGUAAUACGUAGGUCCCGAGCGUUGUCCGGAUUUAUUGGGCGUAAAGCGAGCGCAGGCGGUUAGAUAAGUCUGAAGUUAAAGGCUGUGGCUUAACCAUAGUACGCUUUGGAAACUGUUUAACUCGAGUGCAAGAGGGGAGAGUGGAAUUCCAUGUGUAGCGGUGAAAUGCGUAGAUAUAUGGAGGAACACCGGUGGCGAAAGCGGCUCUCUGGCUUGUAACUGACGCUGAGGCUCGAAAGCGUGGGGAGCAAACAGG
rnacentral:rRNA from 1 species